CCGUGCCGUGGCAGCCCCCGCAAGGUCGGCUGCUCACCGUGCCACCCGUGUCUACUUACCUGUUGCUUCGGCGGGCCUGCGGGCUUGCCCGCUGCCCGGGGACUCUCCCGGGCUCGCGCCCGCCGAAGACCAACUGAACUCUGGUUAAAGAUUGGUGUCUGAGUGAUUGAGAAAUCAGUUA
rnacentral:misc_RNA from 1 species